rnacentral:rRNA from 1 species
AAUAGAUACCCGGGUAGUCCACGCCAUAAACGAUGACAACUAGACGUCGGAAGGAUCUGCCUUUCGGUGUCGCAGCUAACGCGUUAAGUUGUCCGCCUGGGGAGUACGGCCGCAAGGUUGAGACUCAAAGAAAUUGACGGGGGACCCGCACAAGCGGUGGAGCAUGUGGUUUAAUUCGAUGCAACGCGAAGAACCUUACCUGGUCUUGACAUGUCCGGAAGGCCGCAGAGAUGUGGCUGUGCCCGAAAAGGAACCGGAACACAGGUGCUGCAUGGCUGUCGUCAGCUCGUGUCGUGAGAUGUUGGGUUAAGUCCCGCAACGAGCGCAACCCUUGUCCUUAGUUGCCAGCACGUUCGGGUGGGCACUCUAAGGAGACCGCCGGUGACAAACCGGAGGAAGGUGGGGAUGACGUCAAGUCAUCAUGGCCUUUAUGACCAGGGCUACACACGUGCUACAAUGGCCGGUACAAAGGGUCGCCGAACCCGUAAGGGGGAGCCAAUCCCAUAAAGCCGGUCGUAGUCCGGAUCGGAGUCUGCAACUCGACUCCGGU